rnacentral:sRNA from 1 species
GAGAGAUGCCCUCCUGAGUUGGGGAUAUGGACCUUCGACAAGUCGUAUUAUCCCAGCCCAGAAGGGCAUUUCUUUUAUUCCCACGCCGCUGGAACCCAAACUACAUCGGUGGAUCCAG